CCCGUUUUUGUAAAUGCAUCUGCUCCAUACCGACCUGUUUUAUCCGGAUGCUUGAAAAUAUAACACCAAAAGCAAAAACAAGCAUCUUUUGCUACGCUAUACUCUAGCCACACAAACUUUUGAUACCAAACAUCUUGAAAACUUCUUAGUUGAUUACCAAAUUGAGUUUUCGGAUAGGUAUGCCCAACUACUUGACAAGGCCC
rnacentral:lncRNA from 1 species